rnacentral:lncRNA from 1 species
GAAAACUUUUCAUUUAAAACAUUUCUAACCCCUCACCGUAAAACCUGUAUACUUUCCCAGAAAAUAGCAUAUAUAUAAGCAAAAAUCUCAAAUCUCAAACCUUUAACACUUUUCAGAAAUAUAUAUAUAUAUAUAUAUAUAUAACCAUAUGAAAUCUCAAAGCUUGAAUCCCAAAUCUUUAACAUUUUUCAAGAAAAACAUGCCAUGCCAUAAAUCAAAAUAUAAAUCAGGUGAAAUAAGGAAUCAAUCGGAGACCCUGCAGUUGGUCCUAUACGAUUAAUUCAAUAGCUCAAUAUCUCACUAAGCCGGAGUCACCACAGUGACUUAUACGGCCCUACUCUGCACAUCACUCGGAACUACGUAAGGUAGUCUAUACGAUGAAAGGUGUAAAAUACGCUCUAGUGCUUCUCUCAUCAUAUCAUCAGCGCGCAUAUCUAAGGUCACCCACCAGUCGGAACCCCUCUAAUGGUCUGUACGACUGGCAUGUCGGAACCCUCACAUGGUCUGUACGACAUCCACCUACUUGGAUCCAAGGCGAGCGUGCGGUGUGGUGAAUAAUAUAAGCACUAACACCUAGGGUGCAGAUUAUGAGCUCAAACAUCGAAACAUCAAUCAAUUAAAUGAAUAAUAAACUCACCUGACGUACCUGUGCCUCCACAGCACCAUGCAACAUGUAUGCAUCAUAUAUCAAUCAUGUAAUUCAUAUAACAAUUCACAUUUUCAAAUAAUUUUAUGCAUGGCAUUUUUAAAGCAUAUCUUCAUAUAAAUUCAUUUUUUGGGAAAAAUCAAUAGUAUAAAGGUAAUACAAAAACAAAACUGCCCACUCACCUGGAGUUCGCCCACAACUCCCUAGCACCGUACAUCAAGGCGUCAUGACGAUUAGCGCCUAGAACAAAAAUCAAAUCCAACCUCAGAAAUUCUGCCGAUAGAAUAUACAUAACUUAUAUAAGACACGUCACUACGUAGUUCGAUCCGGAUGAUCUGCAAUUCAGAUUUCAAAUCCGUAACUUCUAGAGGUCCACAAUAUACCUCUAGGACAACAUCCUAAAAUUUCAUUACCAUCCAACGGUCGGAUCUCCGUCAAUUUCCAAAACUAAGUGACGGUUAACAUUCUAUUUUAUGAACUUACAACUUCAAUUCCGGAAGAUCCGUAAAUCGGAUUCCCCAUCCGUAAGUUCCUAUAAUCCUCAAAUAUUACGUAUUACAACGUAUCAAAGUUUGAUGACGAUCCAACGGUCGGAUCGUCAAUUCACAUUUUCACCUAACCACGAAUCGUAACCAACUUAGGUUCAAUUAUUCAAUUUACGUCCAUCAAUUAUCAAAAAAGAACCUAGAACCUUAAUCACAAGCUAAUAAUGACAUUGGCGGGCCAUUGGCCACGCGCCGCCGCGCGGGCCGCCGCGGGUGGCGGUUGGCCGCCCCCGGCUCGCCGGAAAAUUCAACUAUUUCCAAAAAUUACCAAAAUUUGCAGAUUUGAAGAUCUCAAUGAGUAGAACAAAUUUCAUACCUGAGACCAAGGCCAAUUUGGCCUGGAAGUGCUUCAAUUUCACCAAAACCGUGAAGAACCCUAGAAUUUGGGUGUUUCCAAUUCGACCUUCAAACUUGUUCCAACGCCUCAAUUACCUCUUGGGCUUUGUUCUAGGUCCUAAAGGAAUGCUAAAGGUGUUAGUAAUUGAAAGAAAACAUUUCAAAAUUUGGAGAAUUUAAACAAAAGGGUCGCGGCACCCGUAGGGGUGUUCUUCGCGAAAUCACAACGAAAUUCAAUGAUUCUUGGGGUGAAACGUGAAGAGGGAAGGCCUAGAUGAUGAUUAGGAGUGGUACCUUGACUCAAUUCGUCAGAAAUUUGGACAAAAAUGGCGAAAACCCGCCGAUUGGAAGUCGCGGGUCGCGCGACCGCACGGGUCAAGGACGACCCGUUUCUCCUGUUCCCCCAUGCACCACUCUCCCUCCUUUCCCUCCUUUCCUUCCCCUGAUUGGUCAGCUUCUUCCUCUCCCUUCUUCUGGUUCGCUCUCAUCUUCUUCUUCUCCGAUUGGGCAUUUCUGCCCAGUCUCUUCUUCUUUUCUGUUUUCUGUUUCUUCUUCUCAUACACAUACACACACCAAAAACCUUUCCCUCAUCCCAGCCAUCCAUUUCAUUCAUCAAUAAAUCUGGGCCGUCCAAUUUCAUAAAAGAAUUUCUAUAUUUUACUAAAAUUAUAAUUCCUUAAAAUUCCAAAUUUUCAAACGUUAAUAACUUCUUUCGAUAUAACUCCAAAUCACGAACCGUCUGCGCCCACGCGUCCGUAACGACGAGUACUACGAGGAUAUGUCAAGAAAACAAAUCUUAGAUGGCACGACACAACGAUUAACCUCGAAUGAUGUGCGUGCCUCAAAGGGCAUUUUUGUAAAAUCCUUUAUUAAAACUUUAAAAAUUCUUAAAAUUAGGGACAGGCUGUCACAAUCUACCCACCUUACAAAAAUUUCGUCCUCGAAAUUUACACAAUCUUUACAAUCCAUCAAUAUCCAUGAAACAGCCCGAAACACAUCUCUCUCAUUCGAUUAUUUGACUUCUAAGUAGCUUCUUCCACUGAAAGAUUCCUCCAUAAACUUUCACCAAACUCAUAGUCUUAUUUCUCAGUACAUCAUCUUUCUAAUACAAGAUAGGCACUGGCUCCUCAUCAUACGUCAAAUCCAUAUUGACUUCCAAAGGUUGAGAAGGUAUCACUCGUGAAGGAUAUGAGGUUUAAUGUCGAAGUAUCGAAACAUAAAACAUAUCAUGCCCUUUCAUCGGCUCUGGAGGCAACUCAGCCUGUACGUAACUUCACUGACUCGUUCGAUGAUCACAGAUGGUCUGACGUAUCUAGGACUUACUUGUUUUUCUUUUUAAAACGAAUCAUACUUUUCCAAGGUGAUAAUUUCAAAAUCAUUCGAUCACCUACAUAUACAUCCGGUCAGUGGCAUGUUUGUCUGCUAAGCUCUUCAGCCGAUCCUGGCCCACUUCCAGGUUAGACUUAAUUACUUGAAUAUUCUGAAUAGUCUCAUCCACUAGCUCAGGGCCUUGAAUACUAUCCGUCCCCAAUUCUAACAAUUUCGAAACACAAGACAUAGCUUUCCACGGCCUUAUGGCGUUACUCUAGGGAACAAACUGAAGGGACCAACAUACCCAAGAAGUUUAACAGAUCCCAAAUCUCUUUUUCCAUAAAACAAACAAAUAAAUGUUGCGCUUGUCUGGAAAGGUUGGUGUUCUCAUACUGAAGUAACAUACGCUGACGUCACCAGUCGAUCAAUUAUUAUUCAAAUUCCAACCUAACUAUUUUUGUAUACGAGGAAGCUUGUCCACGAAAUCCAUAGUAAUAUUCUCCCAUUUCCGCCGUGGAAUGGGAAAUGACUACAUUAAUCCAAAAGACUUAUUUCUUUCUGCUUUAACCUGAUGACUAAUGAUACGCCUACUAACAUACUUCGCCAUUCCUCUUUUCAUACCCGUCGAUAGUACAUGAACGAAUGGUAUGAUAAAUCUUAGUACUUUUGGGAUGCAUUGUAGAAGUGGAAUAAUGUACAUCGUCAAAAUUGCUUUCUUUAAUUCCACACCAUUAGGCAUAAACACUUUGUUCUUUUGCAUAGGCUUGCCAUCUGAUUCUCUAACUCUAAGGUCCUUCUUUUUCCCGUUAUUCCUUGCUUUAAAUAAAUUCUUGAAUUUCUUCGUCAAACGCUCGAGUAUCGAGUACAAUCUACCAAAUGAGUCCAACUUAGAAAUUAGCAAGUAAGGCUUCUUCUCGAUUUUUGAUACUCAACUUUACUCCAGUAGAUUUCAAAUCCACAAGAAGAUGAACAUAGCAAGCGUACCAAGCAUUAAUUCUCAUUGGGGUCUUCCUACUAAAUGCAUCAGCCACAACAUUAGCUUGACCACCAUCGUCACACAAUCAUAGUCACUAAGCAACUCAUUCCACCUUUGUUGCCUAAGAUUAAGAUACCUUUGAAUAAACAAAUAUUGGGUACUCCUUUGAUUUGUAACAAUCAUGCACUUUUCUUCCCAUAAAGAAAAUGUCUCCAAAUCUUCAAAGCAAAGAUGAUAGCUGCUAAUUCCAAAUUAUAAUUAGGGUAAUUCAUCUUAUGAGAUCCCAAUGGCCAUGAAGCAUAGGCAAUCAUCCUACCAUGUUGCAUCAACACGCAUCCAAGUACAUUCAAAGAAGUAUUACUAUAGACCACAUAAUUACCACUAUCGUUUGGGAGUGCGAAAACAGAUGCAUGAGUGAGGGAAUACUUUACUUGCUGAAGCUCUACUCACAAUUUUUUUUAUCCCACUCAAACUUAACCUCUUUUCUCAUCAAUCUCGCCAAGGGCGAAGCAAUAAUUAAAAUCUUGGACGAACUAUCGAUAAUAUCCUGCUAAUCCGAGAAAACUCUGAACCUCAGUCACAGUUCGCAAUUGUUUCCAAAUUCUCAAUCGUUGCUACUCUUUUUAAGAAUCCAUUUGAAUACCUUAAGUAGAUAUAAUUAAUUUAUCCAACAUUAGCAUUUGCUAAACUUAGCAUACAUCAACGUUCCCUCAAUCUUUGCAACACCAACUUUAAAUAUCUAGCAUGCACUGCUCUAAUCUUAUCAAUCUCGUCAAUGGCAACCAAUAACAACCCGGUCCAGAUAUCACUGGAAUACUUCCUUCAGCAAACUCAUAAAAGUAGCAGGUGCAUUCGUCACUCCGUAUGGCCUCCCAACUUGAAAUGACCAUAACGAGUCCUGGAUUCAGUCUUAUGAACAUCCUCACUGUUAAUCUUCAACUAAUAUCAUUCAGACCUCAAGUCAAUCUCAGAAAGUACCCAGGCGCCUCAGAGCUGAUCAAAUAAUCAUCAAUACACAACAAUGGAUAACAGCUCUCAAUCGUUACCCGAUUCAAUUACCUAAUAUCAAUGCCUAGCCUUAAUGUCCAUUUUCUUCCUCACAAAUAAACCGGAGCUUUUCCAAUGUGAUAUAAUAAGUUGAAUGGAACUUUUAACUCAACCUGAACCAAUCUCUAACAUAGGAUUUGUACCUAAAAACAAUUCAAUAAUAAAACCCACAUCUCUGCCUGGCGGCAAUCUAGGUAAGGCAUCUGGGAAUACACCAAGAAAAUGUCUAACCAUCUUUACAUCUUCCAUACUAUUAGGAUCAACAUCAUUUAGCACCAUAUGAACUCAAUAUCUUGGCAGCCUUUUGAUAACAAUCUUCUUUGCUCUCUCAACAGGAAUAAUGGCAUAACUCACUCCACUUUACUUACCCCCAAAAGUAACCUCUGGUCAUCCAGGUCGACAAAAAUUAACUGAUUCCCCAUAGCAAUCUAGCUUGACACAAAUAUACAUUUCCUCUACCAGAGUCAUCUUGUCUCAGAAAUCUGGGAUCACUAGUAAAUCUAUCACUUCGCCUCUGACCAGUGGCAGUAAAACCUAAGCUGGGAAAAUUAGCUCUAAUUUCACUUCCUUUGAAGCUCUGAGUCCUCCGAGGUCUUUGAUAUGACGAAUCUUUAACUUUAUCGUCUUAUUCUGAUUCUCAUUCCUUUCUUAUUCCUCUUUACUCUCGCUGAUCAUAUUCUCAAAGUCUUCAAAGCCCAACAACAUCUCGUAAACUCUUGGUAAAAAGUACAAUGGAUAGUGGUCGCCAAAGAACGCAACUUCUUCUUAUUAUCCAGCCAAAAACGACAUAACACCUCGACCGAAUUAACAACAUCAGAAUGGAAACAAGGCAAGUCUGUAAACUUUCUAUAAUAUUCAUCCGUCGUCAUUUUCCUUGUCUCACAUUUGCAAUUUCUUGUUUACUACCAUCACAAUAUGCCGGGGGAAUGAACUUUUCUUAAACAAUUCUUUAAACAACUUCCAAACAGUUGUCCUUCCGAUAUCGUCGGAUAACAUUCCUAUCUCCAUCAAAAUGCAGAUUCAUCACUCAAAAACUAGGUAAUCAUCUCGACCUACCUAUCGGGAGGAAAAUUCCCUUAACCUUGCAUAAUCUGAAACGCCUUUUCCCAAUUGAUUAAGCCAUCAAUCUGCCCCCUUAGGUCCUUCAUAUCCCUAAAGGGAUUCAAAUUUAACUUAUAACCAGUCUCAAAAGGUCCCUUUAGAUAAUAGACUGAAUCACAAUGGCAAUAGUUUCCCCCCAAACUACUAUAUCAGGGAAAUUAGGCUCAUCCGAACUACGUGGCUCGCUACGAGGCGGUAUUGUUCUGACAGAAGACACUAGGAAAUUAUCAAGAUGUCCAGAAUUGCAACCUAGGCUCUGAUACCAACUGACACACCCCGUCCCGAAGGAGGGCGUGCUGGCCGUCACGUGAGAGUGACGUAACCAUUUACACAGUUCGGAAGCUUUAAAAAAAAUUUCCAAUUACUAAGAUAACACAACCGAGGGUGAGUCCUACUUUUGUGAAUUCUGUCAGAACACCGUUGGAUUCCUCGUGGCCACCAAAGCUUUGCUAACUUGAACCUGGAGGGGCGCAAAACAAAAUUGAGUGGGUCAGUAAAACAAAGUUUUUCGAAAACUUUUCAUUUAAAACAUUUCUAACCCCUCACCGUAAAACCUGUAUACUUUCCCAGAAAAUAGCAUAUAUAUAAGCAAAAAUCUCAAAUCUCAAACCUUUAACACUUUUCAGAAAUAUAUAUAUAUAUAUAUAUAUAUAUAUAUAUAUAUAUAUAUAUAUAACCAUAUGAAAUCUCAAAGCUUGAAUCCCAAAUCUUUAACAUUUUUCAAGAAAAACAUGCCAUGCCAUAAAUC